CUUUGGAAGACGUCACUGCUGUACUGCCAGAGAUGUGGAACUCCGGGCUCGACUCCACAUUCUUCUACUUCCUACCAUGAAUGAGGAUGCUGGCCCUCAAAACCGACCAGGGUGGAUCUAUCUGAGAGUCUUUGUUCUCAGCACCUCUGGCUUUGUAUCAGAAUCCUGUGGCUUCCAGACUGGCUGACUCCUGGGGAGCAAGCACAGAACAGUAGGGGAAAAAAGAUGGAAUUAAUAAACCAAAGUGACUCAGCAAGUUAUAUCAUAGUCACAAGACAUACCAUGCAGACUGCAACAAGGAAACAUCACGAUCCUACAAAAAUUGGUGCUUUUUUUGUCCAGAAAUUGUGUUGGCUGGCUGUGUCCUGUUGUUAACUAAGAAAAAAGAGUGGCCCACAUGUUGCAUCUGCCCAUGGUGAUGGGAGGAGAUAAAGAAGGUGCUUGUGGCUGGCAGCACUGUGCAGCUUUUCUCCCUCCAGGAAGGACACUGUUUCCACUGAAAGCAAAUGU